UAUUAUUAAAAGAGUCAUGAGGAAGAGAUGAUCCUCUUCUUCCACUGGAUAUUGUCAAGCCUGCAUGGCAGCAAACUCUGGAACUCUGAAAGUCAUCUUGCAACCAGGAAGAGAGCUAGCUGAAGACAAAGCAAGAAUGGGACAUGAACUGGAGGGAGACUGGUGACAUGUGAAUGGAGAGGAAUCACUGAGUGGUACUUGGUGAGAAGGAGGACGUAAGCUCAAAUGGCUGUAUAGGGCUCUGUGUCCAGCCCCUGGAGAAGAACACAUGACUCUGCCCUUAGCCAGUUACAACACUGCAUUUCCCUGACCACAGAGACUGAUUCAGGGAUGGUUAUGUGACCCAAGUGUGUUCAAUCAGAACAAAUAACAGGAAGUAUGCUAAAAAUGCUGGGAGAAAGACAUUUGCUCUUUCUUCUGAAUCAGAAGCUGGAAAGAUGCAGCCCCAUUAACUAUUGGAAGUUCUGAUUACUUGGGCCCAGAGAAAGGAGUAAGAUAGUAAUCCUGGCUCAGUUUGGA